UACGUAGGGGGCUAGCGUUGUCCGGAAUCAUUGGGCGUAAAGAGCGUGUAGGCGGCUCGGUAAGUCCGCUGUGAAAGUCCAGGGCUCAACCCUGGAAUGCCAGUGGAAACUGUCGAGCUAGAGUCCGGAAGAGGCGAGUGGAAUCCUGGUGUAGCGGUGAAAUGCGCAGAUAUCAGGAGGAACACCAAUGGCGAAGGCAGCUCGCUGGGACGGUACUGACGCUGAGACGCGAAAGCGUGGGGAGCAAACAGG
rnacentral:rRNA from 1 species